UACAGAGGGGGCAAGCGUUGUUCGGAAUUACUGGGCGUAAAGGGCGCGUAGGCGGCCUUCUUAGUCGAACGUGAAAUCCCCGAGCUCAACUCGGGAACUGCGUCCGAUACUGGCGGGCUUGAAUCCGGGAGAGGGAUGCGGAAUUCCAGGUGUAGCGGUGAAAUGCGUAGAUAUCUGGAGGAACACCGGUGGCGAAGGCGGCAUCCUGGACCGGCAUUGACGCUGAGGCGCGAAAGCUAGGGGAGCAAACGGG
rnacentral:rRNA from 1 species